rnacentral:rRNA from 1 species
UACGUAGGGUGCAAGCGUUAAUCGGAAUUACUGGGCGUAAAGCGUGCGCAGGCGGUUUUGUAAGACAGUGGUGAAAUCCCCGGGCUCAACCUGGGAACUGCCAUUGUGACUGCAAAGCUAGAGUGCGGCAGAGGGGGAUGGAAUUCCGCGUGUAGCAGUGAAAUGCGUAGAUAUGCGGAGGAACACCGAUGGCGAAGGCAAUCCCCUGGGCCUGCACUGACGCUCAUGCACGAAAGCGUGGGGAGCAAACAGGAUUAGAUACCCUGGUAGUCCACGCCCUAAACGAUGUCAACUGGUUGUUGGGUCUUAACUGACUCAGUAACGAAGCUAACGCGUGAAGUUGACCGCCUGGGGAGUACGGCCGCAAGGUUGAA